rnacentral:rRNA from 1 species
UACGUAGGGGGCUAGCGUUGUCCGGAUUUAUUGGGCGUAAAGAGCGUGUAGGCGGCCAGGUAGGUCUGGUGUGAAAACUCGAGGCUUAACCUCGAGAUGUCAUCGGAAACCAUCUGGCUAGAGUCCGGAAGAGGAGAGUGGAAUUCCUGGUGUAGCGGUGAAAUGCGCAGAUAUCGGGAAGAACACCCGUGGCGAAGGCGGUUCUCUGGGACGGUACUGACGCUGAGACGCGAAAGCGUGGGGAGCGAACAGG